CAGUCUACAGUUGAAAAUCGUAGCGAUAGGUUGUGUUCCGUUGUUAAAGAUUAUCGUUCAAUUGGAGUUUCGAAGGCAGGAUAACUUUAAAAGUGUAAUAAUUUUUGCACAAUUAAGAAAAAAUAUGAUGACUAUAUGCAAAUAUAAUAAAUAACUGAUUGCUGAUUAAGUCCGAAAAAGGAAUUUUCAAUAUGUUUUACGAAAGAGAGGUAAAGCUUAAAUUUUUAUA